UACGGAGGGGGCUAGCGUUGUUCGGAAUUACUGGGCGUAAAGCGCGCGUAGGCGGCUCUGCAAGUCGGGGGUGAAAGCCCGAGGCUCAACCUCGGAACUGCCUUCGAUACUGCGGGUCUCGAGUCCGGGAGAGGUGAGUGGAAUUCCUAGUGUAGAGGUGAAAUUCGUAGAUAUUAGGAAGAACACCAGUGGCGAAGGCGGCUCACUGGCCCGGUACUGACGCUGAGGCGCGAAAGCGUGGGGAGCAAACAGG
rnacentral:rRNA from 1 species